CGAGACCCGCCCCCUUGCUUACGUCACUAGCUCCGCGCUUCGCAAACUUCCCAAAAUUUCAGUCCGGGUUAAACAGAGCCUCGCGCUGUCCAUCAAGGGGUCUUUCUUAGCUUCGACCUGCUCACCUGUAUGACUUUUGGAACCUCUGGGGUCUCGGGGGCUGCGUUCCGGACCCCUCGGCGGGAGGGGAUCCCGGCCCCGCCUCCCCGGAGUUCCUGUGACGCAAUUAGCCAUAUAAGGAGCUCGGCCGCCGCAGCCGAGUGUUUGUUUGGUAUCCUAGCAAUGACGUCAGAGGGAAUCCCUCGCUCGUUCUCGGCGCGCACCCUGUGUGCCUGCGGAACCCGCCCGCGCCUGCGCAGUGCUAAGCCGCCCCGGGGGCUGGUAUUAAUAGGCGCUUAAAUUGUCCCGGGAAGGCCGGUGCUGACCCUGGUGUGGGAGGCCCCCAACUUAAGGGUCUUCUUUACUUCUGGCGCCCCCACCCGCCCGUCUGCCGCUGAUGCAGCGCCCCCACUCAAUAGGAAGAGCCGAUCUCCAAAAGGAGACCCUAAUUAGUGUGGUGUAGCCACGUAGGCGGGGAAACUGAGUCCCAAGCGGGAUUGGAAGCGCUGUGAUGCUCCAGGUGAAAGUGGAGGUGGGGUUCAAGUCCCAGGGCUAGUCUCAGCUUCUGCCCUGACUCGCUGAGCUUGGGAAAUGUUUCCCCUCUCUUGACCUUCAGCUGCGCUUUUCCCUGCUGAGCGAAGGGUGUGUGUUUGGGACCCGGCUGGCCUCGGGGUCCC
rnacentral:lncRNA from 1 species